rnacentral:misc_RNA from 1 species
GAUGAAGAACGCAGUGAAAUGCGAUAAGUAAUGUGAAUUGCAGAAUUCAGUGAAUCAUCGAAUCUUUGAACGCACAUUGCGCCCGCCAGUAUUCUGGCGGGCAUGCCUGUUCGAGCGUCAUUUCAACCAUCAAGCCCCCGGGCUUGUGUUGGGGACCUGCGGCUGCCGCAGGCCCUGAAAACCAGUGGCGGGCUCGCUAGUCACUCCGAGCGUAGUAGUUACAUCUCGCUCAGGGCGUGCUGCGGGUUCCGUCCGUUAAAAGCCUUUUACCCCAAGGUUGACCUCGGAUCAGGUAGGAAGACCCGCUGAACUUAAGCAUAUCAAUAAGCGGAGGA